rnacentral:rRNA from 1 species
UACGGGGGGGGCAAGCGUUGUUCGGAAUUACUGGGCGUAAAGGGCUCGUAGGCGGCCAACUAAGUCGAACGUGAAAUCCCUCAGCUUAACUGGGGAACUGCGUCCGAUACUGAUUGGCUUGAAUCCGGAAGAGGGAUGCGGAAUUCCAGGUGUAGCGGUGAAAUGCGUAGAUAUCAGGAAGAACACCCGUGGCGAAGGCGGCUCUCUGGGACGGUACUGACGCUGAGACGCGAAAGCCAGGGGAGCAAACGGG